rnacentral:lncRNA from 1 species
AGAGGCCCACUAUGCUGGCAGUAGCUUGGAGGAGCUGGGAGGUGCCUGUGCCCUGGUCUUGGGAGCAUACACCUGAGGUGGGAUGGAGGAAAAGCCACCUGUGGCUCUGGCUAGGCCGGGACCCAGAGGACAUCCUCAGAGCCCAGGAGCCCUGGGAUUAUGUGAGAAGCCAGUCCUCACUUUGUAUGUAUCCAGGCAGCUCUCUGGUCUUGUAGUUAUUGUCAGCAUCCAUGCUUCCUGACUGACUGUGGCUGGCUGCCUCCUGCUGUCCCAUUCUUGGCCUGUGGGGAAUGCUUCAUCCUGGGAAACCCAGGCCCCUCCUCCAGAGCUGCCUUUGCAGGGUCUUCACCUCUGGCUGGUUGCGGGCCACACAGAGGUGGGAGCAAGGAAGCCUGGGGUCCCGUCUCUCCCUGGGGGCCACGGUAGGCAGUGUCCCUGCAGAGUGGCAGCGCGUUUUCCACAGGCCUUCUCUGUUUAAUUGCACCCUCUAGUGGAGGAGAAGGUGAAGGAGCAGCUGGAGGCCGCCAAGCCCGAGCCCGUCAUCGAGGAGGUGGUGAGUGCCUGGACCACCCUGGCAUCCUCGCUGCUUCUGUGUGUCCUGUUUCUCUUCGCCACUUGCUCUCCCUCUGCCCCCCAUUCCUUCUCGUCACUUCUUUAUUCCCUUCCCACCAGCCCCUUUGCUCUCGUCCCUCUCCUUCCUCCUCCUCUUUCUCCCAUUUCCCUCCUUCUCGAGCCUGCCCUCCCCCUUGUCCUGGGGUGGCCCCUCCACCCUGAUGUGUGUCUCCUCCCUUCCCAGGACCUGGCCAACCUCGCUCCUCGGAAGCCUGACUGGUGAGUGUUGCCCGUGCGUGGCGGGUGCAGGCUGACUCGGGGACUCUUGGUGCCAGCAUGGGCCUGGGGCUUGGCCCUUCCUGCCGUCACAGUGCAGAGACUGGCAGUACAGACAUAGAGUUACACGAGAUAGCUACUGUUGGAAACCAGUGCUGAGGAGGACAUAAGUGGUGGGAUGAGAGGGGAGUGAUGGAGUGGGGCUCAGGCGCGGGGAGCAGCAGGCCCCUCAUGAAGGCCCUCCUGAGAGGUUGAGAGCCCAUCUGCUCCAGAGCUCCCAUUUGAGCAAGGCCAACCGCUGUCUUUGGGGGCCAGGAGUGGAGGGAAGGGCAGACACAGUUUUCUGUUCCUGUUCUACCACCAUAGCUUGUUCCCUCUGGCCCUGGUUUCCUCCUCUGUGAAAUGGAGGUCGUCAUCCUUCUUGCUAGGCUGAGAGAGAGUGGGAGAGAGGGUGCUGUGGGCCGGGAGGCUUGUGUCUGUCUUCACCUUGAGCCGGAGGUAGAGCUAUAUCCCUCUCGCCUGAUUCUUGGUCGAGUUAACACCAGCUGUUUUAAUUUGAUGAAACAAAAGCAUGGGGCAUAUGUCCUGGGAAACCCAGAGCCAGAGAGAAUGGGCUGAGUGCUUGUGCACUUCUGGGUGCCCACAGUGGAGGGGCUGGGCCGGUGGCUGGAGGAGGAGCAGGGCCCACAGUGGGCAGGAGCAAGUCACUCCCUGAUGGUGACCAGAGGACCAGAGCAAGAGAGGGUCUCUGAGAAACCAUCCACCUUUGCCUUAGCUCAGUCCCUUGUGUUGGGUGGGUUUGUGAUGCUAGUCCCCCUGCCUCAGUGGGACAGGGAAUGAUGGUUUAUGCUGGGUUUCGGAGGGUACAGAAGGGGAAUGUCCUGGCCUCUUCCCCAGGGCAGCCCCCUCCAGCAACCGAGCAUGACUCCUAAUGCCAGAGGGCUGCAAGAGGGGAGGGGACCCAAUGCCACAUCAGGCCAGCCUUCACCUUCCUGCUUCUCCCUGCCUCCCUGCUCCAGGGACCUCAAGAGAGAUGUGGCCAAGAAGCUGGAGAAACUAAAAAAGCGGACUCAGAGGGCCAUUGCCGAGCUGAUCCGUAAGUGCAGUGCCUGGGAAGGUGGGGUCCUGCCCACUGGGUGGUGGCCCAAGCACCGGGCCCCUCCCCACCCCUUCUGUCUGCCAUCCAUCCCAGGUGAAAGGCUGAAAGGCCAGGAAGACAGCCUAGCCUCUGCAGUGGAUGCUGCCACCGAACAAAAGACCUGUGACUCCGACUGAGGCAUGCCCUGCCCCACCACUCGCCCAUCAGGCCUGUCCUGCAGAGGAUGGUCUUGGGCAGGGAUGGGGGCUAGGCUUGCCAUCACCUCCAGUUUGGCUUCUGAGCAGAGACUCCCUGCCCAUCAAGUCUGAAACCCCCAUGGAUGAGGUCAGCUCCUUGUCUGCUGGGUGGCCCCUGCCAUUCUGAAUGGAGGCAGAACCAGCAACAACUCUGGGCGUGCCUGUGUCUGCACAUGUGGAUGUACAUAUGUCUGUAUAUAUGUAUAUAUUUUGAACUUUCUAAAAAAAAAUCUGGAAAUAGAAACAAGU